rnacentral:rRNA from 1 species
AGAGUUUGAUCCUGGCUCAGAAUGAACGUUGGCGGCGUGGAUUAGGCAUGCAAGUCGUACGCACAGCAAUGUGAGUGGCGCAAGGGUGAGUAAUGCGAAGGUAACCAACCCUGGAGUUGGGCAUAGCCGCGGGAAACUGCGGGUAAUUCCCAGCGAUGUCGCGAGAUGGCAUCAUCUUGCGACCAAAGGUGUGAUUCCGCUCUAGGACGGGCCUUCGUGGUAUUAGGUAGUUGGUGAGGUAACGGCUCACCAAGCCGACGAUGCCUACCGGGUGUGAGAGCAUGACCCGGCACACUGGAACUGAGACACUGUCCAGACACCUACGGGUGGCUGCAGUCGAGAAUCUUCGGCAAUGGGCGAAAGCCUGACCGAGCGACGCCGCGUGAGGGAAGAAGGCCUUCGGGUUGUAAACCUCUUUCGUAGAGGAGGAAGGGGCCGUGCAGAGCGGUCUUUGACCUAUUCUAGGAAGAAGCUUGGGCUAAGUUCGUGCCAGCAGCCGCGGUAAGACGAACCAAGCGAACGUUAUUCGGAAUUACUGGGCUUAAAGCGCGUGUAGGCGGAUGACCACGUCAGUCGUUGAAAUCCCCCGGCUCAACCGGGGAACAGGCGCUGAUACGAGUUGUCUGGAGGUGGGUAGGGGAGACUGGAACUUCCGGUGGAGCGGUGAAAUGCGUUGAGAUCGGAAGGAACGCCCGCGGCGAAAGCGAGUCUCUGGACCCAUUCUGACGCUGAGACGCGAAAGCCAGGGGAGCAAACGGGAUUAGAUACCCCGGUAGUCCUGGCUGUAAACAUUGGGCACU